rnacentral:rRNA from 1 species
CAAGUCGAGGGGCAGCAUGAACUUAGCUUGCUAAGUUUGAUGGCGACCGGCGCACGGGUGAGUAACACGUAUCCAACCUUCCGUUUACUCAGGGAUAGCCUUUCGAAAGAAAGAUUAAUACUGGAUAGCAUAACGAGAAGGCAUCUUCUUGUUAUUAAAGAAUUUCGAUAAUCGAUGGGGAUGCGUUCCAUUAGUUUGUUGGCGGGGUAACGGCCCACCGUGGCGACGAUCGGUAGGGGUUCUGAGAGGAAGGUCCCCACACUGGAACUGAGACACGGCCCAGACUCC